rnacentral:rRNA from 1 species
UAUUGAAUUCGAAGUCNACGCGCAAGAAACACGUUUACCCNAGCACCUUGACAUCCCGUGUCGCGGUUGUCCAGAGAUGGAUACGCNGUCAGUUCGGCUGGACCGGUGACAGGUGCUGCAUGGCUGUCGUCAUGCUCGUGUCGUGAGAUGUUUGGGUUAAGUCCCGGCAACGAGCGCAAACCCUCUGCCACUUUAGUUGCCAGCAGUUAAGUUGGGCACUCUAAGGGGACUGCCGGUUGAUAAGCCGAGAGGAAGGUGGGGAUGACGUCAAGUCUCUCAUGGCCCUUACGGGCUGGGCUACACACGUGCUACAAUGGUGGUGACAGUGGGCAGCGAGACCGCGAGGUCGAGCUAAUCUCCAAAAAACCAUCUCAGUUCAGGAUUGCACUCUGCAACUCGAGUGCAUGAAGUUGGAAUCGCUAGUAAUCGCAGGAUCAGCAUGCCGCGGUGAAUACGUUCCCGGGCCUUGUACACACCGCCCAGUCACACCAUGGGAGUUAGGUUUUACNGCGAAGGCGCUGUGCUAACCGCAAAAGAGGCAGGCGGACCACGUAGUCACAUGG